UACGUAGGAUGCGAGCGUUGUCCGGAAUUAUUGGGCGUAAAGAGAACGUAGGUGGCCUAUUAAGUUCAGUCUUAAAGACCGGGGCUCAACCCCGGGAAUGGACCGAAGACUGGUAGGCUAGAGGAUGUUAGAGGACGGUGGAAUUCCCAGUGUAGCGGUGAAAUGCGUAGAUAUUGGGAGGAACACCAGUGGCGAAAGCGGCCGUCUGGAACAUUCCUGACACUGAGGUUCGAAAGCUCGGGGAGCAAACAGG
rnacentral:misc_RNA from 1 species